CCUACGGGGUGCAGCAGUGGGGAAUAUUGCACAAUGGGGGAAACCCUGAUGCAGCGACGCCGCGUGAGUGAAGAAGUAUUUCGGUACGUAAAGCACUAUCAGCAGGGAAGAAAAUGACGGUACCUGACUAAGAAGCGCCUGCUAACUACGGGCCAGCAGCCGCGGUAAUAAGUAGGGGGCUAGCGUUAUCCGGAUUGACUGUGUGUAAAGGGAGCGUAGACGGCUGCGCAAGUCUGGUGUGAAAUCCCUGGGAUGAACCAUGGAACUGAUUUGGAAACUGGGCAGCUAGAGUGCAGGCGAGGUAAGCAGAAGUCCUAGUGUAGCGGUGAAAUGCGUAGAUAUUAGGAGGAACACCAGUGGCGAAGGCGGCUUACUGGACUGUAACUGACGUUGAGGCUCGAAAGCGUGGGGAGCAAACAGGAUUAGAUACCCCUGUAGUC
rnacentral:rRNA from 1 species